rnacentral:rRNA from 1 species
UCGAGAAUUUUUCACAAUGGGGGAAACCCUGAUGGAGCGACGCCGCGUGGAGGAUGAAGGCCUUCGGGUCGUAAACUCCUGUCAUGCGAGAACAAGAAAGUGAUAGUAUCGCAAGAGGAAGGGACGGCUAACUUCGUGCCAGCAGCCGCGGUAAUACGAAGGUCCCAAGCGUUGUUCGGAAUCACUGGGCGUAAAGGGUGCGUAGGCGGUUUGGUAAGUCAGAUGUGAAAUCCCGGGGCUCAACCCCGG